CCUACGGGAGGCAGCAGUGAGGAAUAUUGGUCAAUGGGCGCGAGCCUGAACCAGCCAAGUCGCGUGAGGGAAGACGGUCCUAUGGAUUGUAAACCUCUUUUGUCGGGGAGCAAAAGACGCCACGCGUGGCGUUCCGAGAGUACCCGAAGAAAAAGCAUCGGCUAACUCCGUGCCAGCAGCCGCGGUAAUACGGAGGAUGCGAGCGUUAUCCGGAUUUAUUGGGUUUAAAGGGUGCGCAGGCGGAAGAUCAAGUCAGAGGUAAAAUUGGGAGGCUCAACCUCUUCGAGCCGUUGAAACUGGUAUUCUUGAGUGAGCGAGAGGUAGGCGGAAUGCGUGGUGUAGCGGUGAAAUGCAUAGAUAUCACGCAGAACUCCGAUUGCGAAGGCAGCAUACCGGCGCUCAACUGACGCUCAUGCACGAAAGUGUGGGUAUCGAACAGGAUUAGAUACCCUAGUAGUC
rnacentral:rRNA from 1 species